CUCAGCUUGCCAUGUCUCCCAAACCUCAUGACACUUUUUGUAGGUGAUACUUUUAGAAAAUUAUGAUCACCGAAGUGAAAUUCUAAUUCUCUUCUUUUUCUAUCUGUCCAACUCUUCUGUCUAUCCUAUGCUGCUUUGAGUCUUUCCUUGAUCAGAUAGAUUUUCUCUCUAGCAUCCAUUUAUUAUCAGUAAAAUCUUUCCUUAUUUACAACUAACGUAUUUCAUAAUAUCUUUUGAUUUAAAGGAUUAAUAUUUCUAAUUAAUUCAGACCAUCAUACUUUUACUGCGCACUCUGAUCUCAACUUACCAAAUUAUCUAAGUCUAUCAAAAAUAAAAAUAUCUUUGUAUAUUAAAUCAAUCAAAGAUAGAUCCAACUUUCAGAUUUCAUAUAAAAUUUAGGAUAAAAUUUAAGAUUUUCUUGUCAUUACUAUCUCUUAGGCAUAGCACAUC
rnacentral:lncRNA from 1 species